CCGUCGCUGCCCGGGACUGAGCCAUUUCGAGAAAUUUGGGGACCGUUGAUUUAAUUUUUCUAAAUUACUUUGAUGGAAACCAAUUUAAUCGCAGUGGCUUGAACCGGGCAAAAGUCGUAACAAGGUAGCUGUAGGUGAACCUGCUGCUGGAUCAUUACUUUAUGUGAUGUUCAAAUUUGAAUUCGCAACAAAAAUAUACUGUUGUGAAACGGCUGUCGCUGGUGUCUAGGUGUUGCUGAUACAGUUGUUAACGUCCGUGGCUGUAUAUGUGGUGACAUGUUAGGACUCUUUAAUGAGUUUAAGACUUAAUGAGCCUCUUAAGUGAGGACGCCAGCACUCUUUUUUUCUCUAUAUUUUUUAAAAAAACGAAAAUUUCUAGCCUUAUCGGUGGAUCACUCGGCUCGUGGAUCGAUGAAGAACCCAGCAAACUGCGAUAAUUUGUGCGAACUGCAGAAACCUUGAGCACAAAAGUUUUGAACGCAUAUUGCAGCCUUGGGGUCAAACCCUUUGCUACGUCUGGUUCAGGGUCAUUUUCUUUUAAAGCGAAAGCUUUAAUUUAUAUAUGCUAUUGAUGCUUUAUAUUUUAAGAGGUUUGUUGUUUGUCAUAAUUUUAUAAAUAUAACUACAAAAAUCAAGCAACUUUGAC
rnacentral:misc_RNA from 1 species